AAAAAAAGCGGAGAAAAAACGGCGAAGGGGAAAAGGGCGAAGGAAAAAUAAAGCAUAUUUUUCCUUCGCCCUUUUCCCCUUCGCCCGUUUUUCCUUCGCCCUUUUCCCCUUCGCCGUUUUUUUCUCCGCUCUUUUU